rnacentral:misc_RNA from 1 species
CUGCUGUAUAGCAGACCUCUAGCUCGUCUCUCCCCCUAUCUCGCCCCGCAGGCCGUCGUAUCGGCGCUGCCAGUGAACAGGAUCUCUGCCUUUGAUCACUCAUGAAGCUCUCUGUAGCGUCACGAACGGCGGUGCUUCCAUGCAGCGCGCCGCAGCAGCAGCUGCUGCUGCCGCCCAAGCUGCUUGCGUCUCUUGCAUCGGUCCUUUUCGUGUUUGGCGCGCUGUGUCUCGUGGCGGCAUCCCCCUUCGCAGCAGCGGCAACUGGGGCUUCGCAGAUGUCGAAGGCGAGAAGGCAGGCAACGGAGCUUCUCACGCACGUGACCUUCGCCAGCUGCAAUCGCCAGAGCCGUGACCAGUCCUUCUGGAUGACGAGCAUCGCCUCCGCGAUCGCCGCGCAAUGCGAGAGAGCCGGCGGCAAUAGCAGCAAGCCCCACACAGACCUCCUCCUAUGGCUCGGCAACGCUGUCUACGCAGACGUCGAUGAGGCCGGCGUGGCCCGGAGCCUCGCGCGCCCUUCAGAUGGCGUCGAGCAGGAGUACAAGCUCCUCACCGAAAGCACGUACUACCGCGAGUUUGUCGAGGCAGUCGUUGGCAGGGACGGGCUUGUGAGCGGCAUCUGGGACGACCGCGACCUCGGCCGGCGCGGCGCGGACGGCAGUUACGCUCAGUCAGAGGCAAUUCGCCGGUUGUACCUAGCAUACAUUUGGAAGGGCCACCCGCUCGCCGUAAAGGACGCCACUGGUGAUGGCACUCCCGGGGCGCUGUACUCCUUCAACGGCAUUCCUGCCCCCACCGGCGCGCCGCUCGCGGCACACUUCGUGCACAGCGUCUGCACAGUAACUCUCGAUGUGCGGACGCAGCGGACGGCGCCGCCAAACCUGGUAGACGCACUGCUGCUUAGCAGCGAGGAGACUGACCUGCGCCUCCGCGGUAGUAAGGGCGUUGCAUCGGGCGCUAGGCUAGCUGAGAUCCGCGACGUGCGUGCACGGGUGAUGGAGGCCGACCUACUUGGGCGACGGCAGUGGGCAUGGCUGGAGCGCACACUCGCCACGUACCUGGCGCCGACUGCGCGCAGCCCCGGCGAUGCGGCGGGUCGUGCGCACUGCGCGGUCACUCUCAUCGCAUCACCGUGGCAGAUUCUGCUGAACGACAACAAGCCCUUCGAGGGCUGGGACCUCUACCCCGCCUCCCGCAGUCGUCUGCUCCUCCUGCUAAAGAAGUACAAAGUCGAGCGCUUUGUUUUCCUGUCUGGGCACGCAGAACUGGGCGAGCUCGGCGUGAUGCGGCGGGCAUCAAAGGAGGACAUUCGCGUCGAAGGUCCGACGGCGACCCUCACCGACAGCCUCCCGAGAGAGUCGCCGACCCUGCCGGCGUCGAAGCUGCUGCCGCCACGGCGGUCGAGCCUCGUGGAGGUGACGAGCAGCGGCCUGACGCACACAGUGCGCGAGGCACCCUUGGUCGGGUGGCUGGCGCAUUGGUUCACAACCUCGCGGAUGGAAGAGGACGCAAAGAGCAACGGCUUGUCUCAGCGGCACCUCUUUCUGACACGCAAUACGACGAUGGAGCGUCAGUUCGGAACGGUGCAGGUGAUUGGGGACCGAGUGGCGGCGGCGCGGCACGCUGAUGUAGUAGCAGCCUCACGCGAGGAGGUGCUUGCGCGGACAAGAGUGCUCAUCACACUCCACAGUGUGCAGCGAGCUGGCGCACCCCUCGUUGCGCUGGAGCGCACAUUGGAGAGUUUGCCAUCCUACGCGGUGGAGCCGCUGGAAGAGGAAGAGAAGGAGUACGAUGCGGUGAAGGCGAUCGACCUCUACGAUGCCGCUCAUCUACCCCAAUUCAACGUGUACAACGACCCUGGCUACUAUCCGUGGCUGAAGCGGCGUAUGGCAGCUUGGCAGUGCGCUGAGGUCCCCUGUGUCAGUGGUCAGCACUUUAUGCUGCUGAAGGUAAUAGCAAACCUGGCGCUCGCCUUUGCGGUAGUGCUGGUGUUCCUUGCUGCAGUCUACUACUACCACCUGAAGCACCGCGACAUGCACGAGGAGGACGGGGUGAAGUUGAAGCAGGACUGACGAAAAUGCGCAAAACACGAGCUGCAGCAGAGGCAGGCCAUAGAACUGCAAGGUUUAGGAAGUGCAGGGGAGGUGACGGAGAGGAGACGCACAUGCGGCCAGAGGGGAGGAGGAAAUGGGGGUGGUUGAUUGUUUUUUUGCCCCCCCCCUCCCCUUGGCCGCCGUCGCCUCUACGUUGUCCCGCGCGUCAAACGCGCACAGGCAGAUGUGCAUUGUCGUUCACGGUGUCCUCCGCUUUCUCCCUCUCACAGUCCUUCGCACGUACAUAUGUGUAUAUGCCGUGCUUGUUACAUUGUCGUUUUCCAAGUCCACCACCCCCGCCGCCGCCACCCACCGCCUGUCACCACCACCAAUUCGUGAUGGCUAUUGGUGCUUCUAUGGGUACUAUGCUGUGCUGUUACUCCGUGGUUGUCUUGGCUGUUUGUUUCUCCCUUCUGUGCUUGUGCCUUGUCGACCGUGUCGCACGACAAGGGCGCCGCUCGCCUCACGAUGAGGUCUGAACGAGUGAGACGGCGAGCUGGGCGGAAAGCUAACGAAACGAGAGCACGGCGGACGCAGGCACACCGAGAGGGGGGAGGAGGAGGAGGGGCAAACAAAGUAGAAAAAUGCUUUGCAGCCCAUUGCGGUGUCCAACAAAGCAUGCACGCACACACACGCAGUCGCUCUUCCCGACGUGGCAGCGGUUAGCCUGCUCUGGCGCGUCGCACAUCGAUCCUGGCUGCGCGCGCAGAGCCGCUUCUAUCGACCCCUCUUCGGUUUAACGUCACCGAGGAGGUAGAACAAAUGUGCGACACUUAUGACGAGCGCUGUGGACCAAAGUUUUUUUUCCGAAAAAGGCGGGUCACCGCCGUUCCAUGGUUGAGAUGGUGCCGCAAGGCAUCUGUGUGUGGGUGUUUGUAACUGAAGGAGGGAGCAAGUGCCGAGAAAGCAGCAGGUGAUGUGUUCCGGGAGGGCGUGAGAAGGUCGGCGCUUCCGUCGUGCUUUUCUUCUUUCCUGCUGCUCGUGUGUACUCCGUGUUGCUUCUCCUUCCUUCUUUCUACCCUCUUCUGCUGUCGACGGCAUCGCUCCAUUUCGCGCGCCUCUCCCACC